rnacentral:misc_RNA from 1 species
GAUGAAGAACGUAGUGAAAUGCGAUAAGUAAUGCGAAUUGCAGAAUUCAGUGAGUCAUCGAAUCUUUGAACGCACAUUGCGCCCUGUGGUAUUCCGCAGGGCAUGCCUGUUCGAGCGUCAUUUCAACCCUUAAGCUCUGCUUGGUGUUGGGCCCUGCCCGCUGCGGCCGGCCCUAAAGACAGUGGCGGUGCCGCCUGGCCCUGAGCGUAGUACAUCUCUCGCUCCAGUGCCCGGUGGUAGCCUGCCAGAACCCCAACUCUCGUGGUUGACCUCGGAUCAGGUAGGGAUACCCGCUGAACUUAAGCAUAUCAAUAAGCGGAGGA